CCCUUAGAUGUCCGGGGCUGCACGCGCGCUGCACUGACAUGUUCAACAAGCCUCCUAGUUCGACAGGAUUUGGGAAAUCUUUGAACGCAUGUCGUGAUAGGGAUAGAUCAUUGCAAUUAUUGAUCUUGAACGAGGAAUUCCUAGUAAACGCGAGUCAUCAGCUCGCAUUGAUUACGUCCCUGCCCUUUGUACACACCGCCCGUCGCACCUACCGAUUGAAUGUUUCGGUGAAGAUUCCGGAUAGGACUUUUUUGAUUUAUUUCAAUUUUGUCUUAAAAGCUAUCUAAACCUCAACAUUUAGAGGAAGGUGAAGUCGUAACA
rnacentral:rRNA from 1 species